rnacentral:rRNA from 1 species
UGGGGAAUCUUGCGCAAUGGGCGAAAGCCUGACGCAGCGACGCCGCGUGAGGGAAGAAGGCCUUCGGGUUGUAAACCUCUUUCAGGAGGGACGAAGCCCCUCGGGUUAAUAGCCCAGAGGGUGACGGUACCUCCAGAAGAAGCCCCGGCUAACUACGUGCCAGCAGCCGCGGUAAUACGUAGGGGGCAAGCGUUGUCCGGAUUUAUUGGGCGUAAAGAGCGUGUAGGCGGCCUGGUAGGUCAGCUGUGAAAACUCGAGGCUCAACCUCGAGCUGUCGGUUGAAACCAUCAGGCUAGAGUCCGGAAGAGGAGAAUGGAAUUCCCGGUGUAGCGGUGAAAUGCGCAGAUAUCGGGAAGAACACCCGUGGCGAAGGCGGUUCUCUGGGACGGUACUGACGCUGAGACGCGAAAGCGUGGGGAGCGAACA